rnacentral:rRNA from 1 species
GCGGGWGCCUUACACAUGCAAGUCGAACGGCAGCACGGACUUCGGUCUGGUGGCGAGUGGCGAACGGGUGAGUAAUGUAUCGGAACGUGCCUAGUAGCGGGGGAUAACUACGCGAAAGCGUAGCUAAUACCGCAUACGCCCUACGGGGGAAAGCAGGGGAUCGCAAGACCUUGCACUAUUAGAGCGGCCGAUAUCGGAUUAGCUAGUUGGUGGGGUAACGGCUCACCAAGGCGACGAUCCGUAGCUGGUUUGAGAGGACGACCAGCCACACUGGGACUGAGACACGGCCCAGACUCCUACGGGAGGCAGCAGUGGGGAAUUUUGGACAAUGGGGGAAACCCUGAUCCAGCCAUCCCGCGUGUGCGAUGAAGGCCUUCGGGUUGUAAAGCACUUUUGGCAGGAAAGAAACGUCAUGGGUUAAUACCCCGUGAAACUGACGGUACCUGCAGAAUAAGCACCGGCUAACUACGUGCCAGCAGCCGCGGGUAAUACA